CUUAUAUUAUCCAUUUUAUUGUCAGAGUAUAAUUCUAUUGCAUGGAUAUAUCACAAUUUAUUUAACCAAUUCCUACUGUUAGACAUUUUUCACUGUCAGAAUAGUUUAUAGAAUGUUUUCAUCCUUUUAUUGUCACAAACAAUGAGCAUUUUUGAGGAUAAAUCUUCACAUGCAUUCUUAAAUUAUAUCAUUAGGAGAGAUUCCUACAAGUAGGAUUGCUAGGACACAGGAUAAGCACAUUUUCCCCCAAAGAUAUUUAUAAAAUUUAGACUUUCAGUCCUUGCCUCUUUUCCCAGUUCCAAGCUUCCCCCAGCCCAUGGAUGCUCCUUGGGACACACCCACACCCUGGAUUCCAUUAAUCUAACACUGAGAUAAUCUCCCAAGUAGCCUGCCCUAUUUUCCAUUUUCCCACUGUUACUGAUAUGAUCAUCCCCAAACUCCCCAGACGUAGUGGUCCUUCUUCUGCCUUUGUCUUUUCAUAUCAGUUUCUUCUACAUUCUCUUACCCUUGUCCAGAUGGUCCCCCUCCUUGCCUGGACAAUUGCCAACUCUUCCUCCUUGCCCUCAAACCUGUCCUCCACUUUGUCCUCAUCUAUUCACACCUCCGCAAAAUCUUUCCUCAAAGCAGCCUCUUCUCACCUAUGGGUCUCACUGCCAACCACUUCUCCAUGCCACCAACCACUUAACCACCUUGAACUGCUCUUUCUCCUCUGCAGACAUUACCUUUUUCCCCCUACAAAUUACACUAGCAGCACCUGGGUAAAGGCCUUUAUAAUGCACCUCCACUCUGCCACCCUUUCCCCCAAACCUGUAGUCACUCCCUCUGCUCCCAGUAUAUCUUGAUGGUAUCUCUGUUAUAGCACCUGUCUCAUUGUAUUAUCUUGACUUGUUCAUAGAAUCAUCUCCACAGCCUGCCCAACUUCUUGAGGGCAUAAUUGGUAUCUGAUCCAUUCUGUACCCAGUGCUCAAUCUGGUGCCCACUAGUUGGUAGGAGGUUACUAGUAGUUGGUGGAUAAAGAAAAGGAAGGUAUACCCGGGAACUAGUGAUCGCAUGGAGUCUCAGGGGUGUGUGACUGAGGAGUGCUUGAGUUGCUUGGUGGGGAUGGACAGGCGGGUUGAAUUCUUCAACACAGCACAGAGGACUCCGGUUUAAAGAUAAUAAGGAGCCCUUUGAAUUGGGGGACAGAGUAUCCUGGUCCAUUCUGUUUGGGGAGGCAAACUGGGAAAGAUGCAGCCACAUUGAAAAAAGAAAACAAAAUCCAAGAGCAUAGGAGACCAGUCAGAAAGCCACUACAGAGCAGAUGUUAAUUGGGCCCAAAAGUGACCAUAGUAAUGGAAAUAACUCCACUGACUGGAGGAGAUCCAGGGCUAAGGCGCAAGUCCAGGGGUUCAUCCCCAUGAAAAGAAAAUCCAGAGGAGCUGCGGUCACAGGGUAGAAAGGCAGAGGUUUUUAAGACAGACUCUAAGAGAUUUACAUGAUGCAGAAAGGAUGUGGUCCUUAGGGUCUUCACCAAAGGGCCAUCCCAGGCCUUUCUGGAAUUAGUCUUUACAGACACCCAGAGCACCUCCAGCCUUAGGGGAGACCUGCAGACAUACUCCCUCUAGCCCUCGUCCCCCUGGUGCCUCAGUUACCCUUUAGGACUUCUUCACUCCCCGAGCCUGUUCUUCAGAAGAAUAUUUGUUUCAUGGGGCUGGGGUUGUGGCUCAGAGGUAGAGCGCUCACCUACCAUGUGUAAAGCACUGGGUUUGAUCCUCAGGACCACAUAAAAAUAAAAUAAAGAUAUUGUGUCCACCUAUAACUAAAAAAUAAAUAUUAAAAAAAAGAAUAUUUGUUUCAGAAAUUAGAACACUAGUAUUUUAGAAUAGUCAGAAAUAUUUGUAAAAGUGAAUACCAGUAAUUCUCCCCUACUUAGAAAUACUUUGCCGCACUGCCUAAAUGGGGAGUCACAGGCCACAGGUAUAAGAUUUCUUUUAGGAUGAUGAACAUGUUCUAAAAUUAGGUUACGGUGAUGACUGCACAACUGUAAAUUCACUAAAACCCACUAAAUUGCACACAGUAAGUGGGUAGACUUUAUGAUACCGAGUUAUAUCUCAAUAAAGUGGUUGAAAAAGGAAUGCCCUGGGAGGUUGAAGGUGCUGUGACAGAACUGUCUGCCAUGGGCAAGUCAAUGUGAGUGAAUUUAAUCAGCAUGCCUCCCACUAAGGCCCAGCCAAGGCUGGGGGACACUAAGGGAGAGGAUGCUUGCUAUUAAGAAUAACGAUAUGUUAGGAAGAGGAAAAUAGAGCCUUUGGCACCAGGGAGCAGUUCCUGAGGUGAAUGAAACCAUAGAAUGGGAAACACAGUAGAAGAGGUCAUGGGUGCCUGGGAGCUGGAAAGAGGAGGGCAGGAAUGAAAAUAAGUUAGGAAUUGGGAGUCAAAAAUGAAUUUUACAAUGGGGUACAGUGGCAUAUACCUAUAAUCUCAGAAACUUGGGAGGCUGAGACAGGAGGAUCUAAAGGUCAAGGUCAGCCUCUGCAACUUAGACCCUGGCUAAAAAAAAUUUUAAAUAAAAUAAUUUUUUUUUCUUUUUCCCCUCUGCAAAGUUUUGCCCAGGAGAGGCCUGCCCUACAAUGAGUUCUUCAAAAGGAAUUAUGGAGGCUUGGGAUGUAGCUCAUAGGUAGAGUGCUUGCCUAGUAUGUGCAAGGCCCUGGGUUCAAUUCCUGGUGCAGAAGGGGGAAAAUUUUUUAUUAAAAAAAAAAAAAAGGAAUUACAAAGUAUGAGAACCUAAGUCUCUCUCAAGGGUGUAGGGGCAAAAGGAAUUUUCCACCCCUGAGGGCUUCACAGUUUGAGCCUGGCUAAAUAGAUUAACAGGAGAAAAGGCAUACAAAUGUAUUCAUGUACACCUACCUGACCAACAAAGAUAAAUAAACUUCAUACAUGCCAAAAUGCACUCAAUCCCAGAAAGGCCUUUCUGCCACAAGAGAACAAAGGGAGGUGGGGACAACUGAAGGUACAUUUCUUUAAAUAAACCAAUUGAAGACAAUAAAACUUAGAUGACCUUAGGUAAAACUAUACACCCUACAGUACUCAGCCAAUGAGGAGCUGGAGAAGGGACCUUGCACACCAGGGAAUCAAAUGCUGGUUGUAACUGCUUGGAAGUGCCUGCUCACCCGAACUUCCAAUCUGCAAGACCAUCAAUAAAAGCCUCGCUUUCAUGUUAUA
rnacentral:lncRNA from 1 species